rnacentral:rRNA from 1 species
AACGAACGCUGGCGGCAUGCCUAACACAUGCAAGUCGAACGAGACCUUCGGGUCUAGUGGCGCACGGGUGCGUAACGCGUGGGAACCUGCCUUUAGGUUCGGAAUAACUCAGAGAAAUUUGAGCUAAUACCGGAUGAUGUCUUCGGACCAAAGAUUUAUCGCCUUUAGAUGGGCCCGCGUUGGAUUAGCUAGUUGGUGGGGUAAAGGCCUACCAAGGCGACGAUCCAUAGCUGGUCUGAGAGGAUGAUCAGCCACACUGGGACUGAGACACGGCCCAGACUCCUACGGGAGGCAGGCGUUGGGAAUAUUGGAAAAUGGGCGAAAGCCUGAUCCAGCAAUGCCGCGGGAGUGAUGAAGGCCUUAGGGUUGUAAAGCUCUUUUACCCGAGAUGAUAAUGACAGUAUCGGGAGAAUAAGCUCCGGCUAACUCCGUG